UUGGAGGGCAAGUCUGGUGCCAGCAGCCGCGGUAAUUCCAGCUCCAAUAGCGUAUAUUAAAGUUGUUGCAGUUAAAAAGCUCGUAGUUGAACUUCGGGAUCAAUGGAUUGGUCAUGCCGUUGGUAUGUACUGGUCAUAUUGGUUCUCACCUUCUAAGGAACCAUAAUGUCAUUCAUUUGAUGUUUUGGGGAAUUAGGACUGUUACCUUGAAAAAAUUAGAGUGUUUAAAGCAGGCUAACGCUUGAAUACAUUAGCAUGGAAUAAUGAAAUAGGACAUCGCAUUCUAUUUUGUUGGUUUCUAGGAUCGAUGUAAUGAUUAAUAGGGAUAGUUGGGGGCAUUAGUAUUCAAUUGUCAGAGGUGAAAUUCUUGGAUUUAUUGAAGACUAACUACUGCGAAAGCAUUCGCCAAGGAUGUUUUCAUUAAUCAAGAACGAAAGUUAGGGGAUCGAAGACGAUCAGAUACCGUCGUAGUCUUAACCAUAAACUAUGCCGACUAGGGAUCGGAUGAUGUUGAUUUUUUAAUGACUCAUUCGGCGCCUUACGGGAAAC
rnacentral:rRNA from 1 species